UGUAUCGGAAGCCUGACGAGGAUGAGAACCUCCGGGGGCAAGAGGUUCGACUCGAGCGCAGCGAGAGAACGUUGCGUCAGCAACGGCCCGCAGGGC
rnacentral:sRNA from 1 species